rnacentral:rRNA from 1 species
AGUGAACGCUGGCGGUAGGCCUAACACAUGCAAGUCGAACGGCAGCACAGUAAGAGCUUGCUCUUACGGGUGGCGAGUGGCGGACGGGUGAGGCAUACAUCGGAAUCUACUUUUUCGUGGGGGAUAACGUAGGGAAACUUACGCUAAUACCGCAUACGUCCUACGGGUGAAAGCAGGGGAUCUUCGGACCUUGCGCGAUUGAUUGAGCCGAUGUCGGAUUAGCUAGUUGGCGGGGUAAGGGCCCACCAAGGCGACGAUCCGUAGCUGGUCUGAGAGGAUGAUCAGCCACACUGGAACUGAGACACGGUCCAGACUCCUACGGGAGGCAGCAGUGGGGAAUAUUGCACAAUGGGCGCAAGCCUGAUCCAGCCAUACCGCGUGGGUGAUGAAGGCCUUCGGGUUGUAAAGCUCUGUUGUUGGGAAAGAAAAACAGCAUGUGAAUACCCCGCUGUUCUGACGGUACCCAAAGAAUAAGCACCGGCUAACUUCGUG